rnacentral:rRNA from 1 species
UAACAGUUGGAAACGACUGCUAAUACCGCAUAAGCGCACAGGAUCGCAUGAUCCGGUGUGAAAAACUCCGGUGGUAUGAGAUGGACCCGCGUCUGAUUAGCCAGUUGGCAGGGUAACGGCCUACCAAAGCGACGAUCAGUAGCCGACCUGAGAGGGUGACCGGCCACAUUGGGACUGAGACACGGCCCAAACUCCUACGGGAGGCAGCAGUGGGGAAUAUUGCACAAUGGGGGAAACCCUGAUGCAGCGACGCCGCGUGAGCGAAGAAGUAUUUCGGUAUGUAAAGCUCUAUCAGCAGGGAAGAAGAAUGACGGUACCUGACUAAGAAGCACCGGCUAAAUACGUGCCAGCAGCCGCGGUAAUACGUAUGGUGCAAGCGUUAUCCGGAUUUACUGGGUGUAAAGGGAGCGCAGGCGGUGCGGCAAGUCUGAUGUGAAAGCCCGGGGCUCAACCCCGGUACUGCAUUGGAAACUGUCGUACUAGAGUGUCGGAGGGGUAAGUGGAAUUCCUAGUGUAGCGGUGAAAUGCGUAGAUAUUAGGAGGAACACCAGUGGCGAAGGCGGCUUACUGGACGAUAACUGACGCUGAGACUCGAAAGCGUGGGGAGCAAACAGGAUUAGAUACCCUGGUAGUCCACGCCGU